AGGACUUUCGAUUUAGUCGAGUCUCCUCGAGUAGGGUAAUGAUUCAAAAGGACCAUCGCCCGGCGUCCAAAUAAAAUUUUUAUUGCGUUUUUUACAGCAUCGUUCAGUGAACUGGUAUUGCAUUACACUGAACGUUAUCUGUAUCAUUUUUGUAUUAAAUAUUUCACGGCGUGCUUUCGAAUUUAUCUCGUUCUGCCACAAGUCUAUAAAUCUCGUCGUCUUCCUCGUCACUGAUGGGUACAUCGUGCAGUGUCGUUAUCUCCAGCAGAGCCGCAUGAUGGAUCAUAGGACUAAGUUUAUGUUCAGUUCGAAUUGUCGUCGAGUCGAAAUAUUCACUUCCGCCAUAUAAAACAUUUAUGGGGUUGGAUGGCCCCGCACUUAAGACUUAAUUAAAGUCCCAUGAGUCGUAAAUCUGACUUUUAUCAAAGAAAUUCGCCCGAAAUCUGCGACUCUGAGUGGUACAAUCACUCCGAGCUGGGAGUGGUGCUCCAGUUAAGAGGCUCGUGGCGGAAGUAGUGUUGACGAACGGCUAGUGCAAGGUCGGCCAGCACGUGGGGGCUCCCACCUGGCCCCUUUCAGGCCUCUCAGCAGGUCAUUGUGAUGAUAAAGCGAUGUCUUGCACCUGCGACACGUCACGAAGAGCCCAACAAUUAAUCAACGCCAUUGACAGAAUUUAUAAAAGCUGACUACACUCACAAAACGACUGAUAAAACUGUAAACCACCCCAUGAUCAUUAUAUCCCCCAGGAAAGCCCGUUUUGAUUGCGCUCAUUGUGAGGGAUGAACGGCUUUGUUUCCCUUAUGUUUCGUCAAUUAUUUUGUUAGUGAAGUCGGGGUAAAGGUUACAUUGUAGGUAUAAUAAAAGAUAAAGUCUGCCGCAAGUCACUCUGCAACUCCGAUUCAUAGAGUCAAAGGGAUUUUGAGAUUUACGAGCCUAGAAUGUAACAACGGGCCUUAUGGAUAGAAAACAAACGAAACCAUUUUACACAUCCUUUUAUUGCAAGUGUAAAAUUUUACUACCAUCGGUAAUGGGUGGAAAACUUCACCACGUGAGCUCAGAAUAUCGAACACGCUUCAUACCAGUUUCAGCAUAAUAUUGGAUAAAUUGCUCUGAAGGAAUUCCUUCACAAUCCACCGACGAGAAAUUUCUUCUUUACGACCUUCGAGCUUUCAGGUUUAUUCUUUGCUUCAAGUGAAACUUUAAUGCUGAUAUUAUGCCGACAAAUUUAUCACGUUCCCAACUUUGACAAAUACACCGUGACCCACACUCAUGUAUUGCGACUUUUGUCUUUGUUAACGAUGGAAAAAAAUUAUACAGCAAAGCAGAAUUUUUGUUUUCGCAAUUAAUCGUUGAUCUUGUCAAAUUUUAAUAAGAAAUAGUUUAGAAAAAAUUGGUAAAUUAGUAAAAGUUAACAUAUAACAAUAGGAGUUUCACUGUUUUAAAAUCUAUUAAUGUUUUGAUAAUAAUGUGGCAUUGAAGACAUUUGUGUGACUUUCUGUAGUACCUAGUUUUUAGUUUAGUUUCUUAAUAUUUUGUGAAUGUGUUUUAUUUCAUUAAAUAAAUCUUUAUAUAAUUUUGCA